UAGCACGGGCUAGGGGGAGCGUUGACGUGUUCUAUUUUCCACAAAUCGUUGAUAAUGGUGGCCUGAAGUUUGAGGGCGGCGUAGACGAGCCUCUGAUGUCUCAUCAGUUAACGUCGACGCUUCGCCCCCAAGAGAUCCAGGUUGAUAGGAUGUCCUUCCGGAGGGAAGAAUUGACUUUUUUAUACCCGGGAACCAGGUCAGGCGCGGAAGCGAGCAACCCGACCGGGGAUGCUGGAUGCCUUGGGAUAGCGGGGCUGAGGAGAUUGAUGUCUCAACAUUUUUGGCAACGUACGUCCACCGAGAACAUGCCCACUA
rfam:Euryarchaeota archaeon TMED97 37979, whole genome shotgun sequence.